CCUCCCCGCGCCGCCUCCCCGCAGCCCUUGGGCAGCCUCAGGCUGCAGCGCCUCUGCCCAGCGCCCAGGAGCCGGGCUUGUCGGCGUGCGUCGCCGCUUAUCUGCGCUGUUUGGACAGCGAGGGUUUGAAAGGCAGGCUUUUCUGUCCCCGCCGAGUCAACAGGCAGACCCCGGGCCGCCGGACUAUUUCUGUCUUAUCAGUGCAGGAAUGCGGCAGCCGCGGCGGCGGCGACGGCGGCGGCGGGCGGGCGGCGGCGGCGUGGGCCGUGGGCCGUCAGGGCAGCCCUGAAGGGGCCCCCUCCCCACUCCGCUCGAGUAGAAGUGUGAGAGAGCCCAGCAGGACUCAGAGGGGAGAGUUGGAGGGAAAAAAAGGCAGAAAAGGGAAAGAAAGAGGAAGAGAGAGAGAGAGAGUGAGAGGAGCCGCUGAGCCCACCCCGAUGGCCGCGGACGAAGUUGCCGGAGGGGCGCGCAAAGCCACGAAAAGCAAACUUUUUGAGUUUCUGGUCCAUGGGGUGCGCCCCGGGAUGCCGUCUGGAGCCCGGAUGCCCCACCAGGGGGCGCCCAUGGGCCCCCCGGGCUCCCCGUACAUGGGCAGCCCCGCCGUGCGACCCGGCCUGGCCCCCGCGGGCAUGGAGCCCGCCCGCAAGCGAGCAGCGCCCCCGCCCGGCCAGAGCCAGGCCCAGAGCCAGGGCCAGCCGGUGCCCACCGCCCCCGCGCGGAGCCGCAGUGCCAAGAGAAGGAAGAUGGCUGACAAAAUCCUCCCUCAAAGGAUACGGGAGCUGGUCCCUGAGUCCCAGGCUUAUAUGGACCUCCUGGCGUUUGAGAGGAAACUGGAUCAAACCAUCAUGCGGAAGCGGGUGGACAUCCAGGAGGCUCUGAAGAGGCCAAUGAAGCAAAAGCGAAAGUUGCGUCUUUAUAUCUCCAAUACUUUUAACCCUGCGAAACCCGAUGCUGAGGAUUCUGAUGGCAGCAUUGCCUCCUGGGAGCUGCGGGUGGAGGGGAAGCUCCUGGAUGAUGUACGUCCUGGCCCAGGUCUCUCCAGGUGUCCUGGGCCCAGUAAGCAGAAGCGGAAGUUCUCUUCCUUCUUCAAGAGUUUGGUCAUUGAGCUGGACAAAGACCUCUAUGGCCCUGACAACCACCUAGUUGAGUGGCACCGAACACCCACCACCCAGGAGACGGACGGGUUCCAGGUGAAGAGGCCGGGGGACCUGAGUGUGCGCUGCACGCUGCUCCUCAUGCUGGACUACCAGCCUCCCCAGUUUAAACUGGAUCCUCGCCUGGCCCGGCUGCUGGGGUUGCACACACAGAGCCGCUCAGCCAUUGUCCAGGCCCUGUGGCAGUAUGUGAAGACAAACAGGCUGCAGGAUUCCCAUGACAAGGAAUACAUCAAUGGGGACAAGUACUUCCAGCAGAUUUUUGAUUGCCCUCGGCUGAAGUUCUCUGAGAUUCCCCAGCGCCUCACAGCUCUGCUAUUGCCCCCUGACCCAAUUGUCAUCAACCAUGUCAUCAGCGUGGACCCGUCGGACCAGAAGAAGACAGCGUGCUAUGACAUUGAUGUGGAGGUGGAGGAGCCACUGAAGGGGCAGAUGAGCAGCUUCCUCCUGUCCACGGCCAACCAGCAGGAGAUCAGUGCUCUGGACAGUAAGAUCCAUGAGACGAUUGAGUCCAUAAACCAGCUCAAGAUCCAGAGGGACUUCAUGCUAAGCUUCUCCAGAGACCCCAAAGGCUACAUCCAGGACUUGCUCCGCUCCCAGAGCCGGGACCUCAAGGUGAAGGGGACUCAGGGAGCACUGGAUGGAAGACAAGCAUAUUGGGAAGACAGUGAUGACAGACGUGGCAGGCAACCCUGAGGAGGAGCGCCGGGCUGAGUUCUACCACCAGCCCUGGUCCCAGGAAGCCGUCAGCCGCUACUUCUAUUGCAAGAUCCAGCAGCGCAGGCAGGAGCUGGAGCAGUCACUGGUUGUGCGCAACACCUAGGAGCCCCUGUGAAUGAGCGUCCGUGGGGGCCUUGGGGCUGCCCCAUCCCCCGGGGCUCUGCUGUCACUCCUGACACCUUCUGGGUGGAUUAAAGGUUAUGCAUCUGA